rnacentral:rRNA from 1 species
GAAGGAUCAUUAACGAGUUAGGGUCCUCCGGGGCCCGACCUCCCACCCUUUGUUGUCGCGAAUUCGUUGCCUCGGCGGGACGGCCGCCCCGGGUCCAAGCGACCCGGGCUGGCCACCGGGGACCCCUCGCGGGGAUCCCGGCCAGCGCCCGCCGCGGGACCACACACAACUCUUGUCUUUGACCGUACAGUCCGAGCAAAUUUGAAUUAAUAAAUCAAAACUUUCAACAACGGAUCUCUUGGUUCUGGCAUCGAUGAAGAACGCAGCGAAAUGCGAUAAGUAAUGUGAAUUGCAGAAUUCAGUGAAUCAUCGAAUCUUUGAACGCACAUUGCGCCCCUUGGUAUUCCGAGGGGCAUGCCUGUUCGAGCGUCAUUUCACCAAUCAAGCCCCGCUUGGUAUUAGGCGUCAGGCCCGCGCUUCGGCCGCGGGCCCGCCCGAAAUGCAUCGGCGAGGACAUCGACCCCCGGCGUGUUGAGAAUUCACGUUCGACGUCGGGAGCACCGGUGCGCCUCCGCCGCGGAAACCUUUCCGGAAAACACAAUUUUCAAAGGUUGACCUCGGAUCAGGUAGGAAUACCCGCUGAACUUAAGCAUAU